GCUAUGGUAGUGUAGUGGUUAGCAUGUCUGCCUUGUAAGCAGGAGACCUGUGUUCAAGUCCCAGCUGUGGCA